rnacentral:rRNA from 1 species
UACGGAGGGUGCGAGCGUUGUCCGGAAUCACUGGGCGUAAAGGGCGCGUAGGCGGCCUGAUAAGUAGGGGGUGAAAUCUUGCGGCUUAACCGCAAGGCUGCCUUCUAAACUGUCAGGCUAGAGCACGGUAGAGGCAGGUGGAAUUCCCGGUGUAGCGGUGGAAUGCGUAGAGAUCGGGAAGAACAUCAGUGGCGAAGGCGGCCUGCUGGGCUGUUGCUGACGCUGAGGCGCGACAGCGUGGGGAGCAAACAGG